UGGGUACGCUCACUCAAGUAAUCUUCAAAAAGGCACAGAGGUACACCUCUAAUCCCCAGAUUUUCCAUUUUCCGGAUAAGGAGGGGUACAGAAACCGUAAAGUAGUUGUUAGAUCUCAAAUAAAUUUAAAUG